ensembl:lncRNA
GCUAGGGAGGAGGACUAGUGGUCAGGGAGGAGGACUGGUGGCUAGGGAGGAGGACUAGUGUUCAGGCUAGGGAGGAGGACUAGUGGCUAGGGAGGAGGACUAGUGGUCAGGCUAGGGAGGAGGACUAGUGGUCAGGCUAGGGAGAGGGACUAGUGGUCAGGCUAGGGAGGAGGACUAGUGGUCAGGCUAGGCAGUGGGACUACUUUUGACUAGAGCCCGUAGAGCUUUUUGGCCCAAGUCCAAGGCAGUCCACUAGGUAAUACAGUAUCAUUCCCUCACGUUAAUACUCUGUUGCUGCUUGGCACUGGGUCCUCUCCUCUAUUAGAUUUGAU